AUGACAUUCAGCAACAGGCAGAACUAUCGAAAAAGGUUCGGCUGCUCCGGCCUGGUUGUGGCAGCCUGGCGGAGGCGGGGGGGGGGGGGGGCGGCUGAGGCCCUCGUGGAGGUCGGCUCGGCCGGGCAGUUCGAGAAGCUGUUGGGCCUCAAAGCCAAGUCCCUCCUCGUGGUCCACUUCUGGGCACCUUGGGCUCCACAAUGUGUGCAGAUGAAUGAUGUAAUGGCAGAGUUAGCUAAAGAACACUCUCAAGUUUCGUUUGUGAAGUUGGAAGCUGAAGCUGUUCCUGAAGUUUCUGAAAAAUAUGAAAUUUGCUCGGUUCCCACCUUUCUGUUUUUCAAGAAUUCUCAGAAGAUCGACCAAUUAGAUGGUGCACACGCACCAGAGUUGACCAAAAAAGUUCAGCGCCAUGCAUCUAGGGGCUCCUUUCCACCCAGUGCUAGUGAUUACCGUAAAGAAGACCUUGGCCUCCACCUGAAGAAGCUAACUCAUGCUGCCCCUGCAUGCUAUUCAUGAAAGGUUUCAGUAAGCAGAUGGUGGAAAUUCUUCACAAACAUAACAUUCAGUUUAGCAGCUUUGAUAUCCUCUCAGAUGAAGAAGUUCGGCAAGGGCUCAAAACUUAUUCCAAUUGGCCUACCUAUCCUCAGCUCUAUGUUUCCGGAGAGCUCAUAGGAGGACUUGAUAUAAUUAAGGAGCUAGAAGCAUCUGAAGAACUAGAUAAUUUGCCCCAAAUUUGCCCCAAAGCUCCCAAAUUAGAGGAAAGGCUCAAAAUGCUGACGAAUAAAGCUUCUGUGAUGCUCUUUAUGAAAGGAAACAAACAGGAAGCAAAAUGUGGAUUCAGCAAACAAAUUCUGGAAAUACUAAAUGGUACUGGCGUGGAAUAUGAAACAUUUGUCAUAUUGGAGGAUGAAGAAGUGCGGCAAGGAUUAAAAACAUUUUCAAACUGGCCAACAUACCCUCAGCUGUAUGUGAAAGGGGAGCUGGUUGGAGGGUUGGACAUUGUAAAGGAGCUGAAAGAAAAUGGUGAAUUGCUGCCUGUACUGAGAGGAGAAAAUUAAUAAAUGUUAAAUGCAAUAUCCACCUCUUGCAAGAAUUAUUUAAUUACAACGGAGCAGUUUAUGAUUCAGUCCUCAGAAGUGGACUAAGAAUAAAAAAAUGCUUCUUACCAAGUUAUGCUUUGUGAAUUUCACAAGGUUGUGUUAAAUAAAUGUAUGUUACAUUUUUUCCACCUAAUGAAUGCAAUAAAUAUCUUCAAAUUGA